GGCCUCAUUCCAUGUGCAUGUGGGCCCAGCUGACCCUGGUGUCCAGAGGGAAAUGUGACCACAUUGACCACAGGUCAUGCUUCCAUCAUAGCAGGCUCGUUGCUGUGGUGACAAUGGGACCUGUGACAGGU
ensembl:snoRNA